rnacentral:rRNA from 1 species
UGGGGAAUAUUGGACAAUGGGCGAAAGCCUGAUCCAGCCAUGCCGCGUGUGUGAAGAAGGCCUUUUGGUUGUAAAGCACUUUAAGUGGGGAGGAAAAGCUUAUGGUUAAUACCCAUAAGCCCUGACGUUACCCACAGAAUAAGCACCGGCUAACUCUGUGCCAGCAGCCGCGGUAAUACAGAGGGUGCAAGCGUUAAUCGGAAUUACUGGGCGUAAAGCGCGCGUAGGUGGUUAUUUAAGUCAGAUGUGAAAGCCCCGGGCUUAACCUGGGAACUGCAUCUGAUACUGGAUAACUGGAGUAGGUGAGAGGGGAGUAGAAUUCCAGGUGUAGCGGUGAAAUGCGUAGAGAUCUGGAGGAAUACCGAUGGCGAAGGCAGCUCCCUGGCAUCAUACUGACACUGAGGUGCGAAAGCGUGGGUAGCAAACAGGAUUAGAUACCCUGGUAGUCCACGCCGUAAACGAUGUCUACCAGUCGUUGGGUCUUUUAAAGACUUAGUGACGCAGUUAACGCAAUAAGUAGACCGCCUGGGGAGUACGGCCGCAAGGUUA